rnacentral:rRNA from 1 species
AUGUAUUUAACACUUGGUAUCUUCUGUGUUGUAGCUGUGCUCCAGUUUUGGCACAAUGUUUCUCUUAUAACUGAGUAUAAUCAUGUUCUCAGAUUUCCUGAAUUUCUAACUUACAGAAUCAUUGCUUGGAGAAACCCCAUAAAUCCUGAGCAACAGUUUCCAAUCAAUUUUAUGUUGUGUCAUGUUCAGUGUAUGCGCCCUGGCUGCCCGCAUGAUGUGCUCUUGUCCUUUGUUCACUAUUCAUCAUGCGAUUUUCUUCAUAUGGAUCUCCAUUGUCUCAACUUAAUUAAUCUCAAGAUACGUAUAUAUUUCUGUAUAUCAUCUUCAUAA